GGAAGUAAAAGUCGUAACAAUGUUUCCGUAGGUGAACCUGCGGAAGGAUCAUUAUUGUAUAACCGAGGUGCGAGGGCUGUCGCUGACCCGAAAGGUCGUGCACGCCCGAGUGCCCUCACACACAUCCAUCUCACCCCUAUGUGCACCACCGCGUGGGUCCCCCUUUGGCUUGUUCGGAGGGGGGCUUACGUUUUCACACAAACUUUGUACGCAGUGUAGAAUGUAUUUUUUGUUUUUGCGAUCACGCAAUCAAUACAACUUUCAACAACGGAUCUCUUGGCUCUC
rnacentral:misc_RNA from 1 species